CGGGCUGUAGUAUAGCGGUAGUAUACACCCAUGGGGUGGGUGCGGUCCGGGUUCAACUCCCGGCAGCCCGA
rnacentral:tRNA from 1 species